AUCACCUCUCGGCCUUCUGGCCAAGAUCAAGGGUAGUAUCUGUUCCUCAUAGGGGGCAUAUUAGACAUGAAACUAUCUGGGAGCCAUAUAUUAUAUGAAAAUUUAGAACAGGGAGAUGGGUAAAGAGCUUGCGCAUUAACCGGGUACUGCAGUACUACUAUGAAAUUCCCUGCUCGCAGAGCUUCUGAUUACAU